rnacentral:tRNA from 2 species
GGAGAGGUGCCAGAGUGGUUGAUUGGGGCCGCCUGCUAAGCGGUUGUACCUUCACGGGUACCGCAGGUUCGAAUCCUGUCCUCUCCG